GCUAUGGUACGCGGAGGGACAUUACCGAGUUAUACAACUCAUCAACCCUGUGAACAUACCUAAAACGUUGCUUCGGCGGGAACAGACGGCCCUGUAACAACGGGCCGCCCCCGCCAGAGGACCCCUAACUCUGUUUUUAUAAUGUUUUUCUGAGUAAACAAGCAAAUAAAUUAAAACUUUCAACAACGGAUCUCUUGGCUCUGGCAUCGAUGAAGAACGCAGCGAAAUGCGAUAAGUAAUGUGAAUUGCAGAAUUCAGUGAAUCAUCGAAUCUUUGAACGCACAUUGCGCCCGCCAGUAUUCUGGCGGGCAUGCCUGUUCGAGCGUCAUUACAACCCUCAGGCCCCCGGGCCUGGCGUUGGGGAUCGGCGGAAGCCCCCUGUGGGCACACGCCGUCCCUCAAAUACAGUGGCGGUCCCGCCGCAGCUUCCAUUGCGUAGUAGCUAACACCUCGCAACUGGAGAGCGGCGCGGCCAUGCCGUAAAACACCCAACUUCUGAAUGUUGACCUCGAAUCAGGUAGGAAUACCCGCUGAACUUAAGCAUAUCAA
rnacentral:rRNA from 1 species